rnacentral:rRNA from 1 species
UUGAACGCUGGCGGCAGGCCUCACACAUGCAAGUCGAGCGGAUGAAGGGAGCUUGCUCCUGGAUUCAGCGGCGGACGGGUGAGUAAUGCCUAGGAAUCUGCCUGGUAGUGGGGGAUAACGUCCGGAAACGGGCGCUAAUACCGCAUACGUCCUGAGGGAAAAAGUGGGGGAUCUUCGGACCUCACGCUAUCAGAUGAGCCUAGGUCGGAUUAGCUAGUUGGUGGGGUAAAGGCCUACCAAGGCGACGAUCCGUAACUGGUCUGAGAGGAUGAUCAGUCACACUGGAACUGAGACACGGUCCAGACUCCUACGGGAGGCAGCAGUGGGGAAUAUUGGACAAUGGGCGAAAGCCUGAUCCAGCCAUGCCGCGUGUGUGAAGAAGGUCUUCGGAUUGUAAAGCACUUUAAGUUGGGAGGAAGGGCAGUAAGUUAAUACCUUGCUGUUUUGACGUUACCAACAGAAUAAGCACCGGCUAACUUCGUG